rnacentral:guide_RNA from 1 species
AAUAACGAAGGCUUAUAUACGGUAAUGAGAUUGAUGAUAU